AUGUUGGCUUAGAAGCAGCCAUCAUUUAAAGAAAGCGUAAUAGCUCACUGGUCGAGUCGGCCUGCGCGGAAGAUGUAACGGGGCUAAACCAUGCACCGAAGCUGCGGCAGCGACACUAUGUGUUGUUGGGUAGGGGAGCGUUCUGUAAGCCUGCGAAGGUGUGCUGUGAGGCAUGCUGGAGGUAUCAGAAGUGCGAAUGCUGACAUAAGUAACGAUAAAGCGGGUGAAAAGCCCGCUCGCCGGAAGACCAAGGGUUCCUGUCCAACGUUAAUCGGGGCAGGGUGAGUCGACCCCUAAGGCGAGGCCGAAAGGCGUAGUCGAUGGGAAACAGGUUAAUAUUCCUGUACUUGGUGUUACUGCGAAGGGGGGACGGAGAAGGCUAUGUUAGCCGGGCGACGGUUGUCCCGGUUUAAGCAUGUAGGCUGGUUGUCCAGGCAAAUCCGGAUAAUCAAGGCUGAGGUGUGAUGACGAGGCACUACGGUGCUGAAGUAACAAAUGCCCUGCUUCCAGGAAAAGCCUCUAAGCAUCAGGUAACAUCAAAUCGUACCCCAAACCGACACAGGUGGUCAGGUAGAGAAUACCAAGGCGCUUGAGAGAACUCGGGUGAAGGAACUAGGCAAAAUGGUGCCGUAACUUCGGGAGAAGGCACGCUGGUGUGUAGGUGAAGUCCCUGCGGAUGGAGCUGAGACCAGUCGAAGAUACCAGCUGGCUGCAACUGUUUAUUAAAAACACAGCACUGUGCAAACACGAAAGUGGACGUAUACGGUGUGACGCCUGCCCGGUGCCGGAAGGUUAAUUGAUGGGGUUAUCCGUAAGGAGAAGCUCUUGAUCGAAGCCCCGGUAAACGGCGGCCGUAACUAUAACGGUCCUAAGGUAGCGAAAUUCCUUGUCGGGUAAGUUCCGACCUGCACGAAUGGCGUAAUGAUGGCCAGGCUGUCUCCACCCGAGACUCAGUGAAAUUGAACUCGCUGUGAAGAUGCAGUGUACCCGCGGCAAGACGGAAAGACCCCGUGAACCUUUACUAUAGCUUGACACUGAACAUUGAGCCUUGAUGUGUAGGAUAGGUGGGAGGCUUUGAAGCGUGGACGCCAGUCUGCGUGGAGCCAACCUUGAAAUACCACCCUUUAAUGUUUGAUGUUCUAACGUUGGCCCCUGACCGGGGUUGCGGACAGUGUCUGGUGGGUAGUUUGACUGGGGCGGUCUCCUCCCAAAGCGUAACGGAGGAGCACGAAGGUUAGCUAAUCCUGGUCGGACAUCAGGAGGUUAGUGCAAUGGCAUAAGCUAGCUUGACUGCGAGCGUGACGGCGCGAGCAGGUGCGAAAGCAGGUCAUAGUGAUCCGGUGGUUCUGAAUGGAAGGGCCAUCGCUCAACGGAUAAAAGGUACUCCGGGGAUAACAGGCUGAUACCGCCCAAGAGUUCAUAUCGACGGCGGUGUUUGGCACCUCGAUGUCGGCUCAUCACAUCCUGGGGCUGAAGUAGGUCCCAAGGGUAUGGCUGUUCGCCAUUUAAAGUGGUACGCGAGCUGGGUUUAGAACGUCGUGAGACAGUUCGGUCCCUAUCUGCCGUGGGCGCUGGAGAAUUGAGGGGGGCUGCUCCUAGUACGAGAGGACCGGAGUGGACGCAUCACUGGUGUUCGGGUUGUCAUGCCAAUGGCACUGCCCGGUAGCUAAAUGCGGAAGAGAUAAGUGCUGAAAGCAUCUAAGCACGAAACUUGCCCCGAGAUGAGUUCUCCCUGAGACUUUAAGUCUCCUGAAGGAACGUUGAAGACGACGACGUUGAUAGGCCGGGUGUGUAAGCGCAGCGAUGCGUUGAGCUAACCGGUACUAAUGAACCGUGAGGCUUAACCUU
rnacentral:rRNA from 1 species